GUAGCUUGCUUCUCUUGAGAGCGGCGGACGGGUGAGUAAUGCCUAGGAAUCUGCCUGGUAGUGGGGGAUAACGUUCGGAAACGGACGCUAAUACCGCAUACGUCCUACGGGAGAAAGCAGGGGACCUUCGGGCCUUGCGCUAUCAGAUGAGCCUAGGUCGGAUUAGCUAGUUGGUGGGGUAAUGGCUCACCAAGGCGACGAUCCGUAACUGGUCUGAGAGGAUGAUCAGUCACACUGGAACUGAGACACGGUCCAGACUCCUACGGGAGGCAGCAGUGGGGAAUAUUGGACAAUGGGCGAAAGCCUGAUCCAGCCAUGCCGCGUGUGUGAAGAAGGUCUUCGGAUUGUAAAGCACUUUAAGUUGGGAGGAAGGGCCAUUACCUAAUACGUGAUGGUUUUGACGUUACCGACAGAAUAAGCACCGGCUAACUCUGUGCCAGCAGCCGCGGUAAUACAGAGGGUGCAAGCGUUAAUCGGAAUUACUGGGCGUAAAGCGCGCGUAGGUGGUUUGUUAAGUUGGAUGUGAAAUCCCCGGGCUCAACCUGGGAACUGCAUUCAAAACUGACUGACUAGAGUAUGGUAGAGGGUGGUGGAAUUUCCUGUGUAGCGGUGAAAUGCGUANAUAUAGGAAGGAACACCAGUGGCGAAGGCGACCACCUGGACUGAUACUGACACUGAGGUGCGAAAGCGUGGGGAGCAAACAGGAUUANAUACCCUGGUANUCCACGCCGUAAACGAUGUCA
rnacentral:rRNA from 1 species